GCCACUUUUUUUUUUUUUCCUGAGAAUCAUUGGCUUUUUUAUCUGCAUUCACAUGAAGGCCAGCAGAAUGAACUUUUUUGGGGAGCAGAAGGCUAUUUGGCUUAUUCAUUCAGCUCCUCUUCAUUCUCUCUAGAUAUUUUGUCAUUUUCUCUCAAUUUUCUCCAUAAUCAAGUGAAAUCCUUCAUUUCUGUACAAAUUUUUUAGCUUAAGAGCAUAGAUCAACAAAUAGGCAAGGUGGUUGGCGAGCAAUGAUGAUUUUUUAUUUUUCUAAUUUUUAACUA
rnacentral:misc_RNA from 1 species